rnacentral:rRNA from 1 species
UGCAGGAUGACGGUCCUAUGGAUUGUAAACUGCUUUUGUACGGGAAGAAACACUCCUUCGUGAAGGAGCUUGACGGUACCGUAAGAAUAAGGAUCGGCUAACUCCGUGCCAGCAGCCGCGGUAAUACGGAGGAUCCAAGCGUUAUCCGGAAUCAUUGGGUUUAAAGGGUCCGUAGGCGGUCUUGUAAGUCAGUGGUGAAAGCCCAUCGCUCAACGGUGGAACGGCCAUUGAUACUGCAGGACUUGAAUUAUUGGGAAGUAACUAGAAUAUGUAGUGUAGCGGUGAAAUGCUUAGAGAUUACAUGGAAUACCAAUUGCGAAGGCAGGUUACUACCAAUUGAUUGACGCUGAUGGACGAAAGCGUGGGUAGCGAACAGGAUUAGAUACCCUGGUAGUCCACGCCGUAAACGA